GCCAACCGGGAUCGUGUGUGUGUGUGUGUGCGUUUCUAUGGUGACGGUUAGAGGAAGUUGACGAUUAUUUGGUGGCUUUGCAGUGUGAAUGAUGCAAGAUAAGCUGCAUUGUUUGUGAGCUGUCUUGAGUAGGCGAGAUUAAUAAAAUGUGAAUAUUUUUUUAGUGUUUUCUAUAUUUUUUUAAAUACCAUUGUAUAUUUUUACUAAAGUCUAUUACAUUUAUUUGAUCUCAAUUGGAGUUGUUCUACAUUGUAAUAAAAGAUUUGUUUCGUUUUAUUCAUAAAAAGGUACUCAAGUUAUUUUAAUUUUCAUUGCACAUUUCCUUAUUGGGAUCCAUACGGGUGGUGAUGCCCCUCUCCAUGGAACGCAAUGGUACACUAUAGGAAUAUGAAGUUUCCCCUCGUUGCCUCGACCUCGGGCCUAGCAUAGGAACCCAUUGCAUUGGAUCAAAGUACCGUGACCUUAGAACAAAUAAGUCUAGGGCCUUUUUGUUACGGGGGAGAGUGAGGAGGGGGGGGGGGGAAAUAAACGAUACUCGAAUUUACAGAAUUAGCUGAUCAAAGGAUGGUAUUGAAAAGCGUUUAUAUAGUAAAAUUUUAAGAAAGUUAGAAUAAAGUUAAGCCAGUUUCGUAAAGUCUUAAAAAAAAAAAUUCUCAGUUGAAGUCUGUUUCUAUUUUUUUUUUAUAUUAUAGAACUAUUGAUAAAUGUCCAAAACAAAGAGAUUUUAAAAUAUAAACAACACUCAUUUUACAGUAGUGUAACUUUGAAUGUAUAUUUUUAUGUAUGUUUUUUUUUUUUUUGAAUAAAUUAAAAGUACGAUGUGGUAUCGUUUGGUGACACCAAAGUUAAUGACGCCACUGUCUUUAUAAAUAUAUAAAUAUAUUUUUUUUUUACAUGAAAAAUAAAUAAUUAUUUCAAAUGAAUUUAAGUUCCUUGUUUGACUCACAAGCACAGGAAAUUCUGACAUAGUAAGACGACUUCUAUCGAUCACUUUUUGUUCAGAUCGCAAAAUAUUUCAGGUCGGCUUAUCUGUGCCUGCUUACACAUUGUUAUAUUGCUAUAUGCAUACGAAAUUAUAUUUACAAAAUAAGAGAAAGCCUUGCAACGCAGAUACAAACAAAACCCUAACUCAUGCGAAUUAGUUUCCUAUUCAAACCUCAUUUCUCUCUUCUUAUUUACCUUUUUUUUAUAUUUUGUUUUCGAAUUUGAGCAAACAUAGCUAAAAUUUCUCCAUUGAGGUCGAUUACAACAUAUCUGUCAUCCAGAACUUAGAAAGCUUUGCUAUGCACUAAUGCACAUUGGUCUGUUUUAAAGACUAUCGAAUUUAUAAAUUGUUGCUAUUUGAAAGAGUAAUUGAAUUCUGAGGAUAUCUGCAACUUUCCACUGCCUUGGUUCUUUCGUAUGGAGGAUGAUUGCAUUCCAAAGGCGAUCGUGUUUUUCUUUUUCAAAAUAAACAGGUAAGCGUAAUAAAAUGUCCAUAUAUUUUUUUCUCCCUAACAUAGAGAAAAGUAGCUAGGAGAUGAUUUUUUCUCAGAAAGGUCGAAAAACACAAAUUUUAGACUCUACGAAUCGUUGCGUGAAAUACUGCAAACAUUAUUAGUUUUCUUCUUGACCAGAAGUGACACAGUAUUUACAUACUCACGAAGUAGAUUAGGCUGACGAUCUAUUUUAAGUGCUUUGAAUCUGUACGAUAAGAUAGUGUUCAUUUGAUCUAAAUCUAAAAUACAUACAUAAACAUAUGAAAUCAUACUGAUAAGUAUGAACAUUUCUACUAUUAAAGUGGUGAAGAAUUGUACAUGGUUAUAUAGAUAUUAUAUGUAGUGUUAGUGAGCAAAUCUACUCUAUAAUUUAUAAAUUAAAUGGCUAAAAUAUAAUUUAAAGCAUCUCACUUCUCAGCUUCUACAUCCUGCGACAUUAUUUUUCUUCUUUACAAAGGUUAUUUAUUUUUCAGAUAUCUGAAGUUAACAUUUAAGAGAUCGUUUUUAAAAUUAAGAAAUACAAUGUUUGAUGUCUUCCUAUUUUUGAAAUUUAUGUAUUCAACAAAGUAUAUCGCAUAAGUCAUCUAUUUAGAUAACGAACCAUUUUCCAGUGUGCUCGAUAAAGAUUUUGUUAGUGUCAGACCCUUCAGAAUUUGACAUCAAUCUAAUUUAUAUGAAAAGUAAAAUUUUAAUUUAAAAAAAAAUGAAAAUAAUGUAUUUUUUUUAAUCAAUGGUGAACUAAAAUUACUGUGAAAAAUAAAGCUGAAUCUGUUUGGAGCAAGAUGUGUGUUAACAAAAGCUCUAGUCAUGAUCAAUACUGUAAUUUUUUGUUUUAAUUUCAGUUGUGGCUAGCUAUGUCUUUGUACGAAAAGAAAAUAGCGAUGAUGUGUGGUGAAGUGAAACGAUAUAUCCUCAUUUGGAUCAUGUUUUCAUCUAUUCAAUAUCAAUGUGAUAUGCUUAAUUGCGAUUCAGUCGAAGAAGGAUCACCGGCGAUAUUACAAAUUCCAACAAAUGUUUCUACAAUCAACAGCAUUACUCAUAUUUAUAUGAAUAAUAGACUCAAAUGCAUAUGCUAUAGUGAUAGUAGGCAAUGCUAUUUUAUUCAGGAUUCUAGUUUUACAUGCAACUGGGACAACGUUACUAACAAUAUAACAGCAACAGAAACAAAUAUCACGAGAUCUACGAAAAGCAAUACAAAAAAAUGUUGGUCUGUUUGGUAUACCCCACCAAGGACUGACCAGUGUUGUUUUCAAAUAUUUAGUAAAGCUAAAAACCUGACUUGUGUAUCAACAUCUAAAGAGAGCGUUGAUGUUUCUUGCACAGCAACGAAUAUAUUCCCGGAGGCAAGUUGUUUGUUUACUCUAAACCAAAAUUCUCAUCAGGUAAUAAUCAUUUUUCUUUAAUAAGCUUAUUGCUAAUGUUUAUAUAAUGCGUUCUCAUGUAAUCCUCUAAACGUUAAGAUGUAAGUCCAUUGACACUCUGUGUCACGCUUGGUCGA